GGGUGGUAAUUCCGGAUGCUCCGACUCCUCGCAUGGGGUGUCGGGAAAGAUUUCAUCGGUAUGGGAUGGGGUCGCGUCCUAUCAGGUAGUCGGCGGGGUAACGGCCCACCGAGCCUACGACGGGUAGCCGGCCUGAGAGGGCGACCGGCCACAUUGGGACUGAGAUACGGCCCAGACUCCUACGGGAGGCAGCAGUGGGGAAUAUUGCACAAUGGGCGCAAGCCUGAUGCAGCGACGCCGCGUGCGGGAUGACGGCCUUCGGGUUGUAAACCGCUUUUGAUCGGGAGCAAGCCUUUGGGUGAGUGUACCUUUCGAAUAAGCACCGGCUAACUACGUGCCAGCAGCCGCGGUAAUACGUAGGGUGCAAGCGUUAUCCGGAAUUAUUGGGCGUAAAGGGCUCGUAGGCGGUUCGUCGCGUCCGGUGUGAAAGUCCAUCGCUUAACGGUGGAUCUGCGCCGGGUACGGGCGGGCUGGAGUGCGGUAGGGGAGACUGGAAUUCCCGGUGUAACGGUGGAAUGUGUAGAUAU
rnacentral:rRNA from 1 species